AUUGAACGCUGGCGGCAGGCUUAACACAUGCAAGUCGAACGAGCGGCGGACGGGUGAGUAAUGUCUGGGAAACUGCCUGAUGGAGGGGGAUAACUACUGGAAACGGUAGCUAAUACCGCAUACCAUCAGAUGUGCCCAGAUGGGAUUAGCUAGUAGGUGGGGUAAUGGCUCACCUAGGCGACGAUCCCUAGCUGGUCUGAGAGGAUGACCAGCCACACUGGAACUGAGAAACGGUCCAGGCUCCUACGGGAGGCAGCAGUGGGGAAUAGUGCACAAUUGGCGCAAGCCUGAUGCAGCCAUGCGGGGUGUGUGAAGAAGGCCUUCGGGUUGUAAAGCACUUUCAGCGAGGAGGCGUUACUCGCAGAAGGAGCCCCGGCUAACUCCGUGCCAGCCGCCGCGGGAAUUC
rnacentral:rRNA from 1 species